UACGAAGGGGGGCUAGCGUUGCUCGGAAUCACCGGGCGUAAAGCGCACGUAGGCGGAUUGCUAAGUCAGGGGUGAAAUCCUGGAGCUCAACUCCAGAACUGCCUUUGAUACUGGCGAUCUUGAGUCCGGGAGAGGUGAGUGGAACUGCGAGUGUAGAGGUGAAAUUCGUAGAUAUUCGCAAGAACACCAGUGGCGAAGGCGGCUCACUGGCCCGGUACUGACGCUG
rnacentral:rRNA from 1 species